rnacentral:lncRNA from 1 species
UCUCCUUUAGGUAGUUGAUCUUUUAUAUUUUGUAAGCACGUUUUUGGUUUUAGUGUAAGGGAUGUUAAUCCAAUUUUUGACUUCGCUUCCGCAUUUGAUAUUUUUAAUAUACAAUUCAUUUUAAAAAUUAUGGGGCCGUUACACAUAUACUAAUAGGAAAGAGGAUUUUGAUGAUAGAUAUCGUAAUAUUAGAAUGUACUUAAUAAAUUAUGGCAAUCUAAGAGGAUUUUGAUUCCAACACCUCUUGACUUGUUUAAGUUCAUCAUGGGUUGUGACUAGAACAUUUACCCAAAUAGACAUUAAGGAGAUUUCACACAAAAAUGGCCGGAACAUUCAAUUCGAAGGAGACACUAGUUAGAUGCUAUAGUAUUCUCAUUGCAGAUUCAGAGGCUCUUUUACACCCUCAUAUUGUCAAAUACAUUUUCUAGAGAAAUAUCUCUUACACCAUCUUCACCAGACAGACCAUAAUUCUUUUAUAAAUGUGUACCACUUUUUCCCUCAUCAUCACUACAUUCUUUUAUCAAGAAAGGAAUGCCUUGAGCACUAAUUACACCCUUUUCUCAAUCUUUCAAAUUAUACUCCAUUUAUAUUUACAAAAAUAAUAUGUAUCACUAACUAAAUACGAAAAUAAUAAUAUGAACACCUUGUUGAGCAUAAUGUGACAAGCAAGAAAAUAUUAAAUUGAUUCAAAGAGUCAUUUGAGGCGUUUUGUCGAGCACAUUACGAGCAGCCUUUAUGUCUCUUCAUUGACAACAACCUACGGCCUAUACGUCUCUCUAAAUUAACCGAACGACAUAAAUUAUCACCAAACAGAAGUAAAACACAAACAAAAAAUUAAUCAUGAGAAUUAAGUGUUAAAAUUAAAAUAUAGUAUUCGAUGAAUCAUACAUAAAAAUCACACACUCUAAAUUCACAGUCUUCAUGCACGUUAAAAAAAAAAAAUUAAAGUUCGUAUGUCACAAAAUUCAUCAGUUGUGCAAUAUAAUUUGGGUUAAAAAUUUACCUAUUUUCUAGCCUAAUGCUCCGGGAUUCUAAAGCUUCCCUUGUUGCAGAUUCCUGCGUGUUGUAGAAAUAAAAGAGGAAAGUUCAGGUUUGAAGAUUGAAGAAGCUUCAGAUUUGAAGAUUGAGAAAGCUUCAGAUUUGGAGAUUGAAGAACCUUCAGAUUGAGGAAGCUUAACGAAAGAGGAACCGAGGAAUGGAAGCUUAUCGUAUAUAAGCUUCGGAUUCUGCUAGGUGCGUAACAGAGAGAAAGGAAGAAGCUUGAUGAAGGUUCACAUUUUUUGGUUCGAGCUUCGACAGCUUCUACGCGUAUACAUAUUUAAAGGUGUUAAUUGUUUGAACAGUGUGGGUUUAUUUGAAUAUUUUUUAAAAAAUAAAAUGACUAAUUUAA